rnacentral:lncRNA from 1 species
GCGGCUCUAACUCCAACCGGACGGCAGUCGGCGACCAGGAUAGGGUUCCCAAAUGAUUUCUUACCUUCGAUUUUUAUUGAUGUAUUCUUUUCUUGUUCUAAUCUUGCUGAUUGUCUUCUUUUUGCUUGAUUUGGUCAUUUUUGCUCUCUUCUGAUGGUUGGGCUUUCAAGUUUCAAAUUUGACUAUCCUUGGUUUUUCACACAGUUUUCGUGUCUAAAGUCUCCAAUUUCAGUGGUAAGAUCUCUUAUAUUUUCUGGAUUUUGCUUAAAUUUCAUAUCUCUACCUUCAUAUACGUUUGGUAAAUCCUCUGAUUUUUCUAUAAAACACGUGUAAACUAACAUAUAUAUCAAAUAACAUAUUUCAUUUCAUUAAAUAUCUUAAAUCUUUUCUCGAUUUUUGCUAAAGAGUCUAUGUUUUAAUUUUUUUCUUCCUUUGAUUUGGUUGAAUCUUGUAUUUUCAUGAAAUAAAUAUAUCUGUAUACUUGCAUAAAUGGCCAUUUU